UCCCCGACGGUGGGCACAGGAACGUGAACCUUAGGCAACACAACGCACCCAUCAACAAACAUCACUAUCCAUUUUCGUUCAAGGAUGCAAUGUACGAGAGCUUUGUAGAACAAGAUGUGGAGGAGACAACCCACUAUGCCGUGGGUUCCCAUGAAGGUUGAUCAAGGUGUUCAUCGUCCGGCUGGAAGACAUUAAAGCAAGCGCUUUAAGGGAGGCAACCCAUUUAUUCUGCUUGAUUGUCAAUUUUAUUACUUGUUUAAUUAUUUUGGUUAUGACUUUCUAUUUUGAAACAUUAACAAAUAUGCAAAGGAUUUUAACAUUAAACUUCAUGGAAAUGAACAGGAAACUGGAAAAUAAAGAAACAUAGCAUAAUACAAGAGGGAGCCUUCACAAAGGCUGCGUGGGAGAGGUUGCAGUAGUCGGCGGAGU
rnacentral:lncRNA from 1 species